GGGUUAAAUGUGGUAUAAUCUCCAACUGACAGUUCUCUUUAUUAUUGAAAGUAAUGCAGUAAAAACCUGAUGAAGAAAUGCACUGUACAUCUCCCUCUUUCUAUAAACCCAGUUAACCAUAAUAUUAUAUGACGACUCACUCAUUUAGGACAAUUUCUUGUUUACACAGACAAAAAUGCAACUGCCAAACUAAUUGAUUUCAAAAAGAGUAAAGGAGUGGAGGAUGGUGAUAUCAAGAUCCAAGAAGAAAUCAAGAAAGCUGCUAAUGUGGCAUAUUAUAUCCUCUCUGGGGGAGAGUCUUACCCUCAGUCUGACGGUGAUGGCAGCUGGAGUAACAAGUGCCUCAUCCUGGACCUCAUUGAGGGCAUGAUCCGCUCAGGAAGUCUGGAGUAUGCUCUCCACCACCCCAUCUUCUGGUCCGAGAUCCGACAGACGUGGUACCUGCAGGCUGUGGGGAACUUCAUAAUUCAUAGUAAAUAUGACGAAAGGGUCAAACGGAAACUCAUCAAAGCAUCCAAGGGCAAGUCUUUCAUGACGUGGCGACAAGAGGUGGGUUUAACUGUUAACAUGUAACGAUGUAAAAUUAUUCUUCAUGUCAACUGAUGUUUUUUUUUUUUUAGUGAGUUAAUUUACAAACCCAGGCCCAAAAAAGGUGGGGCAGUGAGUGAAACCUGAAUAAAAACAGAAAGCAGUGAUCAGGACUUUC
ensembl:lncRNA